AAGUCGUAACAAGGUUUCCGUAGGUGAACCUGCGGAAGGAUCAUUACUGAGUCGUCGACACGAGUUGUUGCUGGUCCUCAAACAGGGGACAUGUGCACGCUCUGUUUACACAUCCACUCACACCUGUGCACCCUCUGUAGUUCUAUGGUCUGGGGGGCCCUGCCUCCCUUCUGUGGUUCUGCAUAUUUACACACACAAUGUAACAAAGUCUUAUGGAAUGUACAUCGCGUUUAACGCAAUACAAUACAACUUUCAGCAACGGAUCUCUUGGCUCUCGCAUCGAUGAAGAACGCAGCGAAAUGCGAUAAGUAAUGUGAAUUGCAGAAUUCAGUGAAUCAUCGAAUCUUUGAACGCACCUUGCGCCCCUUGGCUAUUCCGAAGGGCAUGCCUGUUUGAGUAUCAUGAACACCUCAACUCCCGUGGUUUGCCAUGGUGAGCUUGGACUUUGGAGGUUUUGCUGGCCCAUGGUCAGCUCCUCUCAAAUGAAUUAGCCUGCCAGUGUUUGGUGGCAUCACAGGUGUGAUAAAUAUCUACGCUUGCGAUUGCCCACCAGGUAACCUUCAGCAAUGGGGGUUCGCUGGGGCUCAUAGACGUCUCUCCCUCGGCGAGGACAGUUUUUUUAACGUUCGAUCUCAAAUCAGGUAGGACUACCCGCUGAACUUAA
rnacentral:sRNA from 1 species